UGGAGAUUCUCUGUCUACAAAAAAUUUUUAAAAAUAGCCAGGCAUGGUGGUGUGCACCUGUGGUCCCAGCUUUUUGGGAGAUUGAUGGUGCAGGAUUACUUUAGCCUGGCAGUUUGAGGCUACAGUGAGCCAUCAUUGUGCCACUUUACUCAAACUUGGAUGACAGAGUGAGAACCUGUCUCAAAAAAACUGUACGUUUCAGGCAUGUUUAGUGUAUUUGUAUUGUUAUGCAAAAGACUUCUAUGAAUUUUUCAUCUUGUGAAACUAAAACUCAAUACCCAUUAACAACUGCCCAUUUUAUCCUCUCUCCAGCCAUUGACAAACACCCUUGCACUUUCUAUGAGUGUCACUAAUUAAGAUCUCUCACAUAAGUGGAAUCAUAUAGUAUCCAUCAUUUUGUUACUGGCUUACUUCAGGUGAUAUAAUCUCAAAGUUUAUCUUAAAAUGUGACAAGAUUUAUUUAAGGCUGAAUAAUCCAUUGUGUGUGUGUGUGUGUGUGUGUAUAUAUACAUAUACAUAUAUAUAUAUAUAUAUACCUUUUUUUUUUUUGAGAUGGAGUCUCAUUUUGUCACCCAGGCUGGAGUGCAGUGGGGAAUAUCUUGGCUCACUGCAACCUCUGCAUCCUGGGUUCAAGUGAUUCUCAUGCCUCAGCCUCCUAUGUAGCUGGGACUACAGGCACAUGCCACCACACCCAGCUAAUUUUUGUAUUUUUAGUAGAGAAGGGGUUUCACCAUGUUGGCCAGGCUGGUCCCAAACUCCUGACCUCAGGUAAUCUGCCCACCUCAGCCUCCUAAAGUGGUAGGAUUAUAGGCGUGAGCCACUCCUAAUGCAUUUUUUAUAGAGAUUAUGUUGAAUUUGUUCACCACUUUUGGUUGCAUUGACAUUUUUGAAAAAUUAAGUGUUUUGGCCCUUGAGCCAAGAAUGUGUUGAAGACUGUUUUAUUUUCAUAUAUUUUUCAAUUUGCCAGUUUUACUUUUGCUUUUAAUUUUUUGUUUUAUUCACUUUUGGUCAGAAAGUGUUUAUAAUUUUGGUCUUCCUAAAUCUAUUUAUUGUUGCUGUUAGAAGAUUUUACUGUGUCACUCAGGCUGGAGUGCAGUGGCAUAAUUUUGGCUCACUGCAGCCAUAACCUCCCAGGCUCAAGUGAUCCUUUUACCUCAGUCUUCCAAGUAGCUGGCACUACAGACGUGCCAUGGCUGCUACCAUGCCUGGCUAAUUUUUUGAUUAUUUGUAGGAACAGGAUCUCGCUAUGUUGCCCAGGCUGGUGUCAAAUUUCUGGCCCAGCUGGGUCUUCCAAAGUGUUCAGAUUAUAGGCAUGAGCCACUGCACCCAGCCAGCAUUCUUAAAUUUAAUAAGACUUGAUUUGUGUCCUAACAGAAUACACCAGGUGCAAAUAAGAAUAUUGUGUAUUCUCUUGCUUUUGAUUAAAAGGGUUUGUACAGGUCUGUUAAGCCUAUUUGGUCUGUGAUAUGGCUUGGAUGUCGAUGUUCUCCAAACCUCAUAUUGCAAUGUAAUCAUCAUUGUUUUGGGUCCUGAUAGAAGGUGAAUAUGGGACCUAGAGGGAGGUGCUUAGGUCAUGAGGGAAAGUUCCUCAUGGAUGGCUUGGCACUAUCCUCUUGUUAAUCAGUAAGUUUACACUCUGUUAAUUCAAGUAAGAGCUAGUUCAUUAAAAAAAAAAAAAAAAAAAAAAAAAAAAAAAAACCUGGCUUCUUUACCUCACACUUGCUUUGUAUCUUACCAUGUGAUGUGUCCAGUUUUCUGUGCAUUGCACUGUGAUUGUAAGCUUCCUGAGACCCUCACCAGAAGCAGAUGCUGGCACACACUUUUUGUACAGUCUGCCGAACUGUGACCCAAAUCUUUUUUCUUUAUAAAUUAUCCACUCUCAGGUAUUCCUCUAUAUGUAAAUAAUUUUGAAGUUUGCAAUUUACUUUUUUUUUUUUUUUUUUUUUGAGACAGAGUCUUGCUUUGUCACCCAGGCUGGAGUAUAAUGGUGCAAUCUCCGCCCACUGCAACCUUAGCCUCCUGGGUUCAAGCGGUUCUCCUGCCUUAGCCUCCCAAUUAGCUGGGACUACAGGCUCCUGCCACCAUGCCCAGCUAAUUUUUUUUUCUAUUUUUAGUAGAGAUGCGGUUUCACUAUGUUGGCCAGGCUGGUCUUGAACUCCUGACCUCGUGAUCCGCCCGCCUCAGCCUCCUAAAGUGCUGGGAGUACAGGUGUGAGUCACUGCACCUGGCUGUAAUUUACUUCUAAAAACAUUAUGUUAUGUUGGGGAGUAGAAAAAGCUGUGUUGGGUAAAUGUGACAGAAUUUUUCUUUUUCUAUGCGGCUCUUUGCAUUGUGCUCACCUGGGGCAAUGCGUACACUUAAUUAUGGCCUGUGGUGCCAUCUUGCUUAUGUAGUUUGUGUAAUUUUAUAAGUUAGGUUUGGAAAGUAUAUUUAUCUGAGUCUGUAAAGUAAUGUGUUAUUUUUAUUUCUUUCAGUAAUGUGUUCUCAUUUUGCCCAAGAGUUUUGGCCAGAGCAGAACAUAAAAGAUUCUUUUGAAAAAGUGACACUGAGAAGAUAUGAAAAAUGUGGAAAUGAUAAUUUUCAGUUAAAAGGCUGUAAAAGUGUGGAUGAAUGUAAGGUGCACAAGGGAGGUUAUAAUGGUCUUAACCAAUGUUUACCAACUACACAAAGCAAAAUGUUUCAGUGUGAUAAAUAUGUGAAAGUCUUUAAUAAAUUUUCACAUUCAGAUAGACGUAAGAUAAAACAUGUGGAAAAUAAACCUUUCAAAUGUAAAGAAUGUGGCAAAUCAUUUUGCAUGCUUUCACACCUAACUCGACAUGAAAGAAAUUAUACCAAGGUGAAUUUCUGCAAAUGUGAAGAAUGUGAAAAAGCUUUUAACCAAUCUUCAAAGCUUACUAAACAUAAAAGAAUUUAUACUUGUGAGAAACUCUACAAAUGUCAAGAAUGUGACAGAACUUUUAGCCAAUUCUCAAACCUUACUGAAUAUAAAAAAGAUUAUACUCGAGAGAAACCAUACAAAUGUGAAGAAUGUGGCAAAGCCUUUAACCAGUCCUCACACCUUACUACACAUAAGAUAAUUCAUACAGGAGAGAAACCCUACAAAUGUGAAGAAUGUGGCAAAGCCUUUAACCAAUUCUCAAAUCUUACUACACAUAAAAAAAUUCACACUGGAGAGCAACCCUACAUAUGUGAAGAAUGUGGCAAGGCUUUUACCCAAUCCUCAACCCUUACUACACAUAAGAGAAUUCAUACUGGAGAGAAGCCCUACAAAUGUGAAGAAUGUGGAAAAGCUUUUAACCGAUCCUCAAAACUUACUGAACAUAAAAACAUUCAUACUGGAGAGCAACCCUACAAAUGUGAGGAAUGUGGCAAAGCUUUUAACCGAUCCUCAAAUCUUACGGAACAUAGGAAAAUUCAUACCGAAGAGAAACCCUACAAAUGUAAAGAAUGUGGCAAAGCUUUUAAACACUCCUCAGCCCUUACUACACAUAAGAGAAUUCACACUGGAGAGAAACCCUACAUAUGUGAAGAGUGUGGCAAAGCUUUUAACCGAUCCUCAAAACUUACUGAACAUAAGAAACUUCAUACUGGAAAGAAACCCUACAAAUGUGAAGAAUGUGGCAAAGCUUUUAUCCAAUCCUCAAAACUUACUGAACAUAAGAAAAUUCAUUCUGGAGAGAUACCCUACAAGUGUGAAGAAUGUGGCAAAGCUUUUAAACACUCCUCAUCCCUUACUACACAUAAGAGAAUUCAUACUGGGGAGAAACCCUACAAAUGUGAAGAAUGUGGCAAAGCUUUUAGCCGAUCCUCAAAACUUACUGAACAUAAGAUAAUUCAUACUGGAGAGAAACCCUAUAAAUGUGAGAGAUGUGACAAAGCUUUUAACCAAUCUGCAAACCUUACUAAACAUAAAAAAAUACAUACUGGAGAGAAACUACAAAACUGGAAUGUGUGACAAUGAUUUUGACAACACCUCAAACUUUUCUAAUUAUAAAGGAAAUCAUACUGGUGAAAAAUUCUAGAAAUGUAAAGAAUGUGUCAAAGUCUUUAAAUGGUUUUCACACUUCAUUGUAUGUAAGAUAAUUCAUACUGGAGAAAACUACAAGUGUGAAGAAUUUGGCAAUACUGUUAAUUAAGGCUCAAACCUUAUUGCACAGGAAAGCAUUUAUACUUAAGAAAAAUUGUACAAAUACAAAGAAUGUAAAAUAGCCAUUAAUAUCUGUUGACAUCUUAAUAACAGAAUGUUGGUACUUAAUAAAAGCAUUAUAAAUGC
rnacentral:sRNA from 1 species